UACGAAGGGUGCUAGCGUUGCUCGGAAUCACUGGGCGUAAAGCGCACGUAGGCGGCUUGCUAAGUCAGGGGUGAAAUCCUGGAGCUCAACUCCAGAACUGCCUUUGAUACUGGCGACCUUGAGUCCGGGAGAGGUGAGUGGAACUGCGAGUGUAGAGGUGAAAUUCGUAGAUAUUCGCAAGAACACCAGUGGCGAAGGCGGCUCACUGGCCCGGUACUGACGCUGAGGUGCGAAAGCGUGGGGAGCAAACAGG
rnacentral:rRNA from 1 species